rnacentral:hammerhead_ribozyme from 1 species
AUCCGGCUGACGAGUCCCAAAUAUAAAGAAACGCGUGUCUUGGAU